rnacentral:RNase_P_RNA from 1 species
GGAGCCAGCCAGAUGGUCGCUGUCAGCAGCCUGAUUGAGUCAGUGUUGGCAGAGGAAAGUCCGGACUUCACAGGACAGGAUGCCAGGUAACGCCUGGGAGGCGAGAGCCUACGGCCAGUGCAGCAGAAAAUAUACCGCCAGACUUGUUCUGGUAAGGGUGAAAUGGUGCGGUAAGAGCGCACCGCGCUUCUGGUAACAGUAAGCGGCAGGGUAAACCCCAUCCGAAGCAAGACCAAAUAGGGAAACAACCAGCUUUCGGGCUGACCCCGUGGUCCGCGGGAGUUUCCGGGUAGGUUGCAUGAGGUGAUCGGUGACGGUCAUCCCAGAUGAAUGACCAUCCACGACAGAAUCCGGCUUAUGGCUGGCUCUCCUU